UAAUCGUAUUUAAACAAACAAGGGAAUGGACUCUGACAAAAUUUAUUUUCGUGUUUCAAGAAUUCCUUUAUCUCCGUGUAUGCGUGUAGCUGCAAUUACGUAUGCAAUUAAUUAAGCCAUAGACAAAUUGCAUCGACGAGCGAAAAUACGUAGUGUAGUAUAUGUAAUUGACACAGAAAUGUAUUGAAAAUUUAUAAUAUUAUUACUAUUGUUAUCAUAUAAUAAGAAAUUACUCAAUGCAGGAUUCUUAAAAUAAGAUAUAAAAAAUAUAAGAUAUGAAUUUCUGUUUUACGUAUUUAUUACUGUACGUAAGCGAGUUAAAAAAAAACACCGAUUGGCGUUCGAAUGCAGGGAAAAAUUAUUCGCAUUACGAACAUUUAUACUACCUUGCAAAAAUUUGUAUUAAUGUAGCAGAAUCAGCAAAUUAGUACACCUCGAGUUAUUCGCCUUUUCAAACGGAUUGUUUCUUGGUAUAUUACUGCGGGUUAAAAAUUUCGUGUAAUGGAACUGUUUUGAACGGAUAAUAUAAAUUUUUGAUUUCACCCCCGACCCAGGAAUUACCUUGUAAACUUAUAUUUUGUAAAAUAAAAAUUUUAUUCCAUCCUCUUCGACCGAUAUCAAUUCUUUUCCCUAUUUUUUAUAUCGGCAUAAAACUUCAUCGAUACUUUAGCCGUAGUCGAUCGAACGUGAAACAUAAGGUUGCGAAUUUCAUAAGACCCCAUCCAUACGUGCAAUGUGUAUCGCAGGUAUUAUAGAAAGGUAAAAAGAGGAAAGGCAAGAAGGCGGUCAGUGCGUUAGGAUCGCCACGACACCGUAAAUUAAUCUCCUGUGCCUCAAGCUUCGUUCGAGAACGUGAAAUGCCUCACUCCGGUGGAUUCCGUCGUGUAUUAGGGCUUCAAGAUAUCUAGGUGAUCCAUUAAACUAAUAAAAUUAAGAACACGCGUCUUAUAUGGCUUCUGUAAAAGGAUCAUACCUUUGGGUCAUACCUAAGGUAGAGGGCCUUACGUACUAUCUAGAGAUCCAGUAAUUGUUUAUUACUGAUGAGAUAAUUUUUCAAUAGAGAUAUUAAUAAUCGGUGAAAACACCGAAUUAUUUCAACAACCAAAGCACAAAUUCGCUCGAAUUGAAACUGCGGAAUUUGGUCUGUUAUAAAUAAAUAAAUCGGUUAAAGGAAUAAAUGAACCGGACCAUCAUAAAAUUCUUACUUAUGUUUAUUACUGUAACGUUAUUGUUUUAUUUCUUGAUUUUUUUAAUCUUAUAGAGCGUGUUGCGCGUCAGAUAUGACAUAAACAAGUAGAUUAGUAUGAUUUUUACCUAAAAACGAUUAUUAAUGCUUUUAAUAAUAGAGUAAAUGUAUAUUUAUGUACCAUGAUAUUCACAUUAUAUUAUAUACCCGAUAAAUUGUUAAUCGUAUGACUAUGUAAUUAUAUAAAUUAAAGAAGGCUCUUCGGGGAAAAUAAUUUAUCAGCAUUAUAACUUAUUACGACGACAAAACUUCGCAGGAACCUCCACAUAUACAACGAAAAUCAUUCAAUUUAUUUAGGCUAUCUUAGACGGUAUUUUUAGAAUAAAGAAGAAAAGAGUACCGCUCUCUUUGUUUUUCUCCCCGCUAAAAGAA